GCGGCCGCUGCAACCCUGGCACCGGCCAGUGCGUCUGCCCCACGGGCUGGGUGGGCGAGCAAUGCCAGCACUGCGGGGGCCGCUUCAGACUAACUGGAUCUUCUGGAUUUGUAACAGAUGGACCUGGGAAUUAUAAAUAUAAAACGAAAUGCACAUGGCUCAUUGAAGGACAGCCAAAUAAGAUAAUGAGACUUCGAUUCAACCAUUUUGCUACUGAAUGUAGCUGGGACCAUUUAUAUGUUUAUGAUGGGGACUCAAUUUACGCACCUCUGAUUGCUGCCUUUAGGUAAGCCCAGCCAUUAGCUGACUUCUGAAUGUAAGUGUGUCAGGAACACUUCUCUCAUGGAGUGAGCAUCAGCUCUGUCUCUGCUGAGCCUCAGUUCACUUGGUUUUUAUGUCCUAGGUCAUUUUCUGUGUAUGCUACCAUGUAGCCAAGGUUAGCCUUGAACUUCUAGUCCUGCCUCCACCUUCCAAGUGCUAGGAGCACAGGCUGUGCCACUGUGCCUGGCUCAUUUCACAUUCUUGAACUGCGAAGUUUUGAUAAUUUCUGUUAUCAAACGAACUGCUGUUCGUGAUGGUGGUAAAGUUUACAUUAAAAAAUUUUAGACUAUAUUGAGUAAUAUUUCUGUG
rnacentral:lncRNA from 1 species